CGCCUUUGCAGAGGCCGGAAGGGCAAAGGUAAACAGAGGCAGACGCCUGCAGAUGGCCAGGAGCAGGGGGGCAAGCUGCAAAAGCCCACGCCAGUGGAAAACAAGGUUUUGUUUACUGGCACAGCUUCACCAAAGGCUAAAGGCAAGUCUGAUGGCCAGGAGCAGGGGGGCAAGCUGCAAAGCCCACGCCAGUGGAAAACAAGGUUUUGUUUGCCGGCACAGCUUCACCAAAGGCUAAAGGCAAGUCUGAUGGCCAGGAGCAGGGGGGCAAGCUGCAAAAGCCCACGCUGGUGGAAAACAAGGUUUUGCUUGCUGCAAAGGCUGCUCCAAAAGCCAAGGCCAGGUUUGUUGUUGAUUCAGGCUGUACCCGCCAUGUCUCAAAGGACCGCCACC